rnacentral:rRNA from 1 species
UGUGGUAGGGGCAGAGGGAAUUCCCGGUGUAGCGGUGAAAUGCGUAGAUAUCGGGAAGAACACCAGUGGCGAAGGCGCUCUGCUGGGCCAUCACUGACGCUCAUGGACGAAAGCCAGGGGAGCGAAAGGGAUUAGAUACCCCUGUAGUCCUGGCCGUAAACGAUGAACACUAGGUGUCGGGGGAAUCGACCCCCUCGGUGUCGUAGCCAACGCGUUAAGUGUUCCGCCUGGGGAGUACGCACGCAAGUGUGAAACUCAAAGGAAUUGACGGGGGCCCGCACAAGCGGUGGAGUAUGUGGUUUAAUUCGAUGCAACGCGAAGAACCUUACCAGGGUUUGACAUCCUGCGAAUCUCUUGGAAACGAGAGAGUGCCUUCGGGAACGCAGUGACAGGUGGUGCAUGGCUGUCGUCAGCUCGUGUCGUGAGAUGUUGGGUUAAGUCCCGCAACGGGCGCAACCCACGUCUUUAGUUGCCAGCAUUGAGUUGGGCACUCUAGAGAGACCGCCGGUGAUAAACCGGAGGAAGGUGUGGAUGACGUCAAGUCAUCAUGCCCCUUACAUCCUGGGCUACACACGUACUACAAUGCUACGGACAAAGGGCAGCAAGUUCGCGAGGACAAGCAAAUCCCAUAAACCGUGGCUCAGUUCAGAUCGUAGGCUGCGACUCGCCUACGUGAAGGAGGAAUCGCUAGUAAUCGCAGGUCAGCAUACUGCGGUGAAUACGUUCCCGGGCCUUGUACACACCGCCCGUCACACUAUGGAAGUUGGCCACGCCCGAAGUCGUUACUCCAACCCUCUGGGAGGAGGACGCCGAAGGUGGGGCUGAUGACUGGGGUGAAGUCGUAACAAGGU